GACGAACGCUGGCGGCGUGCUUAACACAUGCAAGUCGAACGGAAAGGCCCCCAUCUUGGUGGGGGUGCUCGAGUGGCGAACGGGUGAGUAACACGUGGGUGAUCUGCCCUGUACUUCGGGAUAAGCUUGGGAAACUGGGUCUAAUACCGGAUAGGACCAUGGUUUAGUGUCUCAUGGUGGAAAGAUUAUUGUUUUGGUGCAGGAUGAGCUCGCGGCCUAUCAGCUUGUUGGUGGGGUAAUGGCCUACCAAGGCGUCGACGGGUAGCCGGCCUGAGAGGGUGGACGGCCACAUUGGGGCUGAGAUACGGCCCAGACUCCUACGGGAGGCAGCAGUGGGGAAUAUUGCACAAUGGGCGCAAGCCUGAUGCAGCGACGCCGCGUGGGGGAUGACGGCCUUCGGGUUGUAAACUCCUUUCGUUAGGGACGAAGCCGCACUUUUUUGGGGUGUGGUGACGGUACCUUUGUUAAGAAGCACCGGCUAACUACGUG
rnacentral:rRNA from 1 species